UCCCAAGUUCCAUCGAGAUCCCAUUCCCCACGACAUCAAACUACCGCGAGAUGCAGCCCUGCCUCGAUCUGCAUGCAGUGUGGAUCCCGCGAGAUUUCAUUCAGCAAUUCCCAUCCCCCACGCAGCACGCGCUGCAUCGCGCCGACGCCAUUAACGUUACUACGGCUUAUAGCAGAGAAGCUAACGUUAGUGUAAAUAAGAAAGUAAAGGACGGUUUUGGAUGUUGAUGCAGUGGAGCAGAAAUUGGCAGACCCCAGAAACAAGUGGUUCCUGUAGUGGCAGUUCUGUGGAUGAAGCCACGAGAAGAAUGAGGGCCUUCCUUUUGGACCACCCCGCAUCAAGAGAGUUCAAUUUUGUUGGCCGGCAUGGAAAGUGAGAGUUUCAGGGGCUCAGACUGCUUGAGGUUGUAUAAGGAAGCUUGAAAAAAAAUCUCUUAACCAAAUUCCCAGAAAAGAGGCAGAAAAGUCAACGUCAAAGUGGCUAAUCGUGACGGGAGGAAACCGUUCUGCGAAGUCACAUAGUAGAGAGCAAGAUAGGGCCGUUGGGAGAGUGAGGACAGAGGUGUGAGGAGCUGCACGGUUGGUUGGUUUGUUUGUUUGUGAAAUAAUGUAUUUUAGAGUUUUCAGAUAUGCGUAUACAAACGAUACAAGUUAUUCCAAAUAAUGUUUGGCAGGAGCUUCACUUUAACUUUUUUUUUAAGAUGCUUAUGUUUUAUAAAGUUGUAAAUACACAAGAUAUAAUGGUCAUGUUCAAAUUAUUCCAACGAAACCUUGUUUAAAGCAUGCAGAAUACAAGUUAUGAAGAUUUUUUUUUUUUUUUACAAGAAAUAACGUUUUU